rnacentral:tRNA from 1 species
GGGUCGGUGCCCGAGUGGCCAAUGGGAGCAGACUGUAAAUCUGCCGGCGUACGCCUACGGGGGUUCGAAUCCCUCCCGGCCCAC